CUAAUACAUGCAAGUCGUACGCACUGGCCCAACUGAUUGAUGGUGCUUGCACCGGAUUGACGAUGGAUCACCAGUGAGUGGCGGACGGGUGAGUAACACGUAGGUAACCUGCCCCGGAGCGGGGGAUAACAUUUGGAAACAGAUGCUAAUACCGCAUAAUAGCAAAAGCCACAUGGCUUUUGCUUGAAAGAUGGCUUUGGCUAUCACUCUGGGAUGGACCUGCGGUGCAUUAGCUAGUUGGUAAGGUAACGGCUUACCAAGGCGAUGAUGCAUAGCCGAGUUGAGAGACUGAUCGGCCACAAUGGAACUGAGACACGGUCCAUACUCCUACGGGAGGCAGCAGUAGGGAAUCUUCCACAAUGGGCGCAAGCCUGAUGGAGCAACACCGCGUGAGUGAAGAAGGGUUUCGGCUCGUAAAGCUCUGUUGUUGGAGAAGAACGUGCGUGAGAGUAACUGUUCACGCAGUGACGGUAUCCAACCAGAAAGUCACGGCUAACUACGUGCCAGCAGCCGCGGUAAUACGUAGGUGGCAAGCGUUAUCCGGAUUUAUUGGGCGUAAAGCGAGCGCAGGCGGUUGCUUAGGUCUGAUGUGAAAGCCUUCGGCUUAACCGAAGAAGUGCAUCGGAAACCGGGCGACUUGAGUGCAGAAGAGGACAGUGGAACUCCAUGUGUAGCGGUGGAAUGCGUAGAUAUAUGGAAGAACACCAGUGGCGAAGGCGGCUGUCUGGUCUGCAACUGACGCUGAGGC
rnacentral:rRNA from 1 species